UGACUUAUCUGCUCAAAACAGCUGUGUCCU
rnacentral:piRNA from 1 species